rnacentral:lncRNA from 1 species
AUGAAUUGAGAUCGUCAAUAAUUUACAAGUUUAAUUUUACAUCCCCCUAUAUAUCGAUGACUCUCAUCUUCUUCUCCACAAAAACAUGAAACAUCAUCAUAACUAUUGCAAACAUAAGACUCAAAUUAGUAAUAUACUCUUCAUAUGCCCUUAGGAGUAGAAACUAAGUAAAAGAAGAAGUGUAUAUAUAUAUAUAUAUGAUCUGGUGAUGAAUGGAUGAUCUAGUAGUCAAUGAAGCCUUCAUGUCAACUAUGGCAGACUCAUCUGCACCCAUCUUGAUGGCCUCUUUGCUCGCCCGAAGGAACCUUGAGACGGCGCCCUUCACGUAUGCCUCGCCUUCCUUCACCUUCAUCUUCUUCCCCAAAUCACCGCUCAGCAAAUGCUCGCCGUUGAGCACAGAGGCCAGCUGCACAACCUCCCCUUGGAACUCCGACAGCCCUCUGCUCUCAUGGCCCUCCGCCUUCCGAAGAGGGCUCACAUCCGGCAAAACCUCGAAGGUGCCAGCCCAAGCAUCUCUGUGAGUUAGGAAGUUUGAUGAGAGGUUAAACAUCUUCUUUAUUAAUGUAGCAGGGAUUGAUGAAUGCUCAUACUCUGAAUUUGGACUAGGACCAUUUGGCUUGCUCACAACUGCACCAGUAUGUUAGAAAUGGAUAUUGGGCUCAUUCAUCCCUUAAAAGGCCUUAUAAGGGAGAGGGUUGCCUCACAGUGGCUCAUGCCACUAUCUCCAAUCCAAUGUGGGACACUUCAAUACACCCCUCGCACGCGCAGCGUUCAUUGGAUUGGGUUGGCUCUGAUACCAUGUUAGAAAUGAAUAUUGAGCCCAUUCCUCCCUUAAAAGGCCUUAUAAGGGAGAGGGUUGCCUCACCAUAUAAAGUGGCUCAUGCCACAAUCUUCAAUCCAAUGUGGGACACUUCAAUAAGUAGUCAAAUACAAAAACUACUCACUAUAAAGGA